rnacentral:rRNA from 1 species
UACGGAGGGAGCUAGCGUUGUUCGGAAUUACUGGGCGUAAAGCGCGCGUAGGCGGCUUUGUAAGUUAGAGGUGAAAGCCCGGGGCUCAACUCCGGAACUGCCUUUAAGACUGCAUCGCUUGAAUCCGGGAGAGGUGAGUGGAAUUCCGAGUGUAGAGGUGAAAUUCGUAGAUAUUCGGAAGAACACCAGUGGCGAAGGCGGCUCACUGGACCGGUAUUGACGCUGAGGUGCGAAAGCGUGGGGAGCAAACAGG